rnacentral:rRNA from 1 species
UGAUGGGGAUAACAGUUGGAAACGACUGCUAAUACCGAAUACGCUCAUGAUGAACUUUGUGAGGAAAGGUGGCCUCUGCUUGCAAGCUAUCGCACAGAGAUGAGUCCGCGUCCCAUUAGCUAGUUGGUGGGGUAACGGCCUACCAAGGCAACGAUGGGUAGCCGAUCUGAGAGGAUGAUCGGCCACACUGGAACUGAAACACGGUCCAG